AGAACACACAGGGCAGGCAAAUUCUUGCCAGGCAUCCACACAAACAUCAUGCAGCCAAAGAGUAAGUUGGGAUCGUAGUACUGGCCUGGUGUUAUCUCAUUGGACAUAAUUUACCACUGGCCAGCCUCCAAAUUCCCACACAGAA